rnacentral:sRNA from 1 species
AGAGUGCUAAAUUUAUCUUCAGACCAGCGACCGCGCCAGCCGCGAAUCGGAUCUCUAUGGAGAUGGCCUAGGCGAUAUCCCUGAGCUGAGAGCAUCACCCUAUCCCCGAAUCCUUCUUUCCUCUCUGUUUUUUCAUUCCCCUCCCUCUCUCCCCUCCCCCUCCAGUCCACGACGACUGGCUGUUGACCCUGUUCAGGCCUCGGUGAAGGCUUUUGGGUAAUCCCCUUCCCACCCCAUCCCUUAAUUUUAUUCUUUUGAAGAGUGCAUUUCAAGCUGCCAAGGUGGAGAGAGGGAUUACAGAAAGGAGAACACCUUAUUUCAGUCCUUUUCCCCUAACCUCCUUGGAGACUGGAUUCCUGCUCUUAAGUCCAAGUCCAUUAACUGAGACCCUGCUGUCUGCUACUAGACCUUUUUAAAGCUGACCCUACCCAUUUUGGUUCUUGAUGCCAGCUGUUCACCUCAUCUGUAACGUAUCAGGACUAAAUUAUGGAUACCAUGCACAGCUAGUGAGAAUGGACUUUUAGCACCC